CGCUGAAUAAGAUUUGUUAUAUUACUUAAUCAAUUGUUUAUAUGAAGAAUCAAUCUGAGAGCAAAUAAAAACACUUUGGGUCCAGAGUGCUGUGUGCCGAGAAGAUAUAAAUAAAAGCAGCAGAGUCAGAGAGCCUUUAAUCAUCACUACACCCUUGCACUUCUCACGAUAGCACCAAAAUUCAAGCCAAAAUGAUGAGCAAACGCAUGCUGUGGGCCAUGAUGGCCUUCCUCUGCUUGGCGUCAGUUUUGUCCAGCCCUUUCCCAGUCGACAGUUCGUCCAAUUCAAGCGAAUCUGAAGAGUCCAAAACCACUGUAGCCCCUACUGAAGCCCCCCAGGAAACCCCAGCAGCCUCAACGACCGAGCAACAACAGCAGCAAAUUACAGAAGCAGCACCGCCUGCUGCGCAAAAUGAAG